rfam:Halobacteriaceae archaeon GX48 16S ribosomal RNA gene, partial sequence.
AUUCCGGUUGAUCCUGCCGGAGGCCAUUGCUAUGGGGAUCCGAUUUAGCCAUGCUAGUCGCACGAGUUUAGACUCGUGGCAGAUAGCUCAGUAACACGUGGCCAAACUACCCUCUGGACGGGAAUAUCCUCGGGAAACUGAGGCCAAUACCUGAUAUCACUUCACUCCUGGAAUGGAUGGAGAGUCAAACGCUCCGGCGCCAGAGGCUGUGGUUGCGGCCGAUUAGGUAGACGGUGGGGUAACGGCCCACCGUGCCAGUAAUCGGUACGGGUUGUGAGAGCAAGAGCCCGGAGACGGUAUCUGAGACAAGAUACCGGGCCCUACGGGGCGCAGCAGGCGCGAAACCUUUACACUGCACGACAGUGCGAUAAGGGGAUCCCCAGUGCGAGGGCAUACAGUCCUCGCUUUUCACCACCGUACGAUGGUGGUGGAACAAGAGCUGGGCAAGACCGGUGCCAGCCGCCGCGGUAAUACCGGCAGCUCGAGUGAUGGCCGUUCUUAUUGGGCCUAAAGCGUCCGUAGCCGGCCACGCAAGUUCGUCGGGAAAUCCACGCGCUCAACGCGUGGGCGUCCGGCGAAACCUGCGUGGCUUGGGACCAGACGACCCAGAGGGUACGGCCGGGGUAGGAGUGAAAUCCUGUAAUCCCGGCCGGACCACCGGUGGCGAAAGCGCUCUGGGAGGAUGGAUCCGACGGUGAGGGACGAAAGCCAAGGUCACGAACCGGAUUAGAUACCCGGGUAGUCUUGGCCGUAAACGAUGUCCGUUAGGUGCGGCGUAGGCUACGAGCCUGCGCUGUGCCGCAGUGAAGACGCUAAACGGACCGCCUGGGAAGUACGUCCGCAAGGAUGAAACUUAAAGGAAUUGGCGGGGGAGCACUACAACCGGAGGAGCCUGCGGUUUAAUUGGACUUAACGCCGGACAUCUCACCAGCAUCGACAAUGUGCAGUGACAGUCAGUGUGAUGAGCUUACUAGAGCCAUUGAGAGGAGGUGCAUGGCCGCCGUCAGCUCGUACCGUGAGGCAUCCUGUUAAGUCAGGCAACGAGCGAGACCCGCAUCCUUAAUUGCCAGCACUGGCGCGAGCCAGGUGGGUACAUUAGGGAGACUGCCGUGGCCAACACGGAGGAAGGAACGGGCAACGGUAGGUCAGUAUGCCCCGAAUGUGCUGGGCGACACGCGGGCUACAAUGGCCGAGACAGUGGGACGCAACCCCGAGAGGGGACGCUAAUCUCCGAAACUCGGUCGUAGUUCGGAUUGAGGGCUGAAGCUCGCCCUCAUGAAGCUGGAUUCGGUAGUAAUCGCCACUCAGAAGGUGGCGGUGAAUACGUCCCUGCUCCUUGCACACACCGCCCGUCAAAGCACCCGAGUGGGGUCCGGAUGAGGCUCGGUUCCCGAGUCGAAUCUGGGCUCCGCAAGGGGGCUUAAGUCGUAACAAGGUAGCCGUAGGGGAAUCUGCGGCUGGAUCACCUCCU